AAAAAUGUACUAAUGAUUCACAAGUAAACUUACAGCCAUCUUUCUUUAUGCAGAUCACUGAUAGCACAGAACUGUCCCUCUCCGGGGAGAUAGGGUACAGAGAGGGCAGCCACCUCGAAAGAGAAGAUAGCCCUCUCCAAGCUGCUUCAAUCCUCAACUCAGCCAGCCUAUUGCCAGCCAGUCUUCAUCUGGAGCCCAAGGCUUCCAGAGGCCACCACCUGCUUCCGCCUGCAGCCCCUUCCUCCAUCUGCACAGCCAGCCACGCUGCAUCUCCUGACAGUUCUGUGGGCACAGCUCCCUCAACCGCAUCUGGGAAGGAGUCUCCACUUUGAAGGACUCGUGUGAUUCCAGCGAGCCCACCUGGAAAAUCCAGAAUAAUUUCUCUACCUCACGGUCCGUAUCUUAGUCACAUCUGCAGAGUCCCUUUCACCAUGGAAGGCGACCCAGCCACAGGUCUGGGGACUGCACAUAAGCAUCUCUGGAGCCAUGAUUCUGCCUACCACAUGUGCUAGUAAAAGAAAGCUCUCCGUGUCUUGUUCUAACAUCACUACAUGCCUCUCUUUAUGUGUCUUGAAUUUUGCAUAUUCUUAACAUGAUUUCAACAGUAACAACAACAAUAAAAAACUUGUGACCCCA